AUUGAACGCUGGCGGCAUGCCUAACACAUGCAAGUCGAACGGCAGCGCGGUCUUCGGCCUGGCAGCGGGUGGCGGACGGGUGAGUCAUACAUCAGCACGUUCCCACUGGUGGGUGCUCGGCCGGCAAAGGCCGGAAUACUACAUCAUACGAUCUGAGGGCGUAAGCGGGUAAUCAAAAGACCUCUGGCUAUUGGGGGGCCCGAUGCCGGAUUGCCGAGUUGGUGGGUUAAAGGCCUACCAAGGCGACGAUGCGAAGCUUGUCUGAGAGGAGGACCAGCCACACUAGAACGGAGACGAGGCCCGGACUAGUACGGGAGGGAGCGGUGGAGAAUGGUGGACAAUGGGGGGAACGCUGGUCCGACCAUGCCGCGUGGGGUAAGAAGGCCUUCGGGUUGUAAACCGCUUCUGUUCGGAAAGAAAACCUAUAGGCUAAUACCCCGCGGGGAUGACGGUACCGGAAGAAUAAGCACCGGCUAACUACGUG
rnacentral:rRNA from 1 species